UCCUGUUGGGUAAGAUUGUAUGCUCUGCCCUGGAUAAGAGGUCUGGCCUAAUUCUGGUUCCUCGAGCACUCCUUUGCAUAAUAUUGGGCACUACCACAUAUGCGACAGGUAUUGUUUAGGUGAUAGCAGGGUUGGUUCCCAUGAUCCCUGUCAUAAUGCUGAGAGAUCUUACUGCAUCCUGCCACUGGAGUCUGAGGGGGAGCCUGGAUCAUCGGCCUAAGCCUCUUAUUCUGUUGAACAGGCGCAGUAGGUGCU
rnacentral:lncRNA from 1 species